AUUGAACGCUGGCGGCAGGCUUAACACAUGCAAGUCGAGCGGAGAUGAGGUGCUUGCACCUUAUCUUAGCGGCGGACGGGUGAGUAAUGCUUAGGAAUCUGCCUAUUAGUGGGGGACAACAUUCCGAAAGGAAUGCUAAUACCGCAUACGCCCUACGGGGGAACGCAGGGGAUCUUCGGACCUUGCGCUAAUAGAUGAGCCUAAGUCGGAUUAGCUAGUUGGUGGGGUAAAGGCCUACAAAGGCGACGAUCUGUAGCGGGUCUGAGAGGAUGAUCCGCCACACUGGGACUGAGACACGGCCCAGACUCCUACGGGAGGCAGCAGUGGGGAAUAUUGGACAAUGGGCGGAAGCCUGAUCCAGCCAUGCCGCGUGUGUGAAGAAGGCCUUUUGGUUGUAAAGCACUUUAAGCGAGGAGGAGGCUACCUGGAUUAAUACUCUAGGAUAGUGGACGUUACUCGCAGAAUAAGCACCGGCUAACUCUGUGCCAGCCGCCGCGGUAAGAC
rnacentral:rRNA from 1 species